GAUAACGCAUUGAGAAUAUAACCACAGCAUGUGAGUUCAUCCUAUUGAUGCUUUUGUUUUUCCAUCCUUAUGGCUUUCGCAUCUUCAUCCGUUGGCUCCACAAAUGGGGCCAAUUUGGGAUCAAGAAUGUAGCAGAUUGUCAAUGCCGCUAAGAGAAACUUCGACUUGUCUUGCCACAUUGUAAAAUUCAUCCCAUCAAAACGGUCCAAACGAAUAAGGUCUUGAUUAGUCAACUUGAUUGUCAACAUGGUGGUUUCAUUCUCUAUUGUAGAAUAUUGUUUAAGA
rnacentral:lncRNA from 1 species